rfam:Methylosinus sp. 3S-1 3S1contig40, whole genome shotgun sequence.
GGCAAUGGCGAGGGGCGCCGCUCUCUUCGAGCGGCUGAGAAGCACCCGUCGAACCUGAUCCGGGUAAUGCCGGCGCGAGGGAAGGCCAGAUCGACGUCGC